rnacentral:tRNA from 1 species
GGCGCUGUGGCUCAAGUGGUAGAGCGCUAGCCUUGAGCUAGGGACAGCGCCU